UACGUAGGGGGCAAGCGUUGUCCGGAAUCAUUGGGCGUAAAGCGCGUGUAGGCGGCUCGGUAAGUCCGCUCUGAAAGUCCAGGGCUCAACCCUGGGAUGCGGGUGGAUACUGCCGGGCUCGAGUCCGGAAGAGGCGAGUGGAAUUCCCGGUGUAGCGGUGAAAUACGCAGAUAUCGGGAGGAACACCAAUGGCGAAGGCAGCUCGCUGGGACGUGACUGACGCUGAGACGCGAAGCGUGGGAGCAACAGGAUAAGAAACCGUGUA
rnacentral:rRNA from 1 species